GGAUUAGAUACCCUGGUAGUCCACGCCGUAAACGAUGCAUACUAGGUGUUGGCUCUUCGGGGUCAGUGCUGCAGUUAACGCAUUAAGUAUGCCACCUGGGGAGUACGUCGGCAACGAUGAAACUCAAAGGAAUUGACGGGGGCCCGCACAAGCGGUGGAGCAUGUGGCUUAAUUCGAUGCAACGCGAGGAACCUUACCUGGGCUAAAUCCACAGUGCUACCUCUGGAAACAGAGGGUUCCUUCGGGACGCUAUGGAAGGUGCUGCAUGGCUGUCGUCAGCUCGUGCCG
rnacentral:rRNA from 1 species